rnacentral:rRNA from 1 species
AGCAGCCGCGGUAAUUCCAGCUCCAAUAGCGUAUAUUAAAGUUGUUGCAGUUAAAAAGCUCGUAGUUGAAUUUCGGGAUCAAUUUAUUGGUCGUGCUAUUGUACGUACUGGUAUUAUUGAUUUCUACCUUCUGACGAACCAUGAUGUCAUUAAUUUGGUGUCUUGGGGAAUCAGGACUGUUACUUUGAAAAAAUUAGAGUGUUUAAAGCAGGCUCACGCUUGAAUACAUUAGCAUGGAAUAACGAAAUAGGACGUUUGAUUCUAUUUUGUUGGUUUCUAGGAUCGACGUAAUGAUUAAUAGGGAUAGUUGGGGGCAUUAGUAUUCAAUUGUCAGAGGUGAAAUUCUUGGAUUUAUUGAAGACUAACUACUGCGAAAGCAUUUGCCAAGGAUGUUUUCAUUAAUCAAGAACGAAAGUUAGGGGAUCGAAGACGAUCAGAUACCGUCGUAGUCUUAACCAUAAACUAUGCCGACUAGGGAUCGGAUGAUGUUAAUUUUUAAUGACUCAUUCGGCGCCUUAAC